rnacentral:rRNA from 1 species
AGCAGCCGCGGUAAUUCCAGCUCCAAUAGCGUAUAUUAAAGUUGUUGCAGUUAAAAAGCUCGUAGUUGAAUUUCGGGACCAAUUUGUUGGUCGUGCCUCGGUACGUACUGGUAUUAUUGGUUUCUCCCUUCUGAAGAACCUCGAUGCCAUUAAUUUGGUGUCGUGGGGAAUCAGGACUGUUACUUUGAAAAAAUUAGAGUGUUUAAAGCAAGCAUACGCUUGAAUACAUUAGCAUGGAAUAAUGAAAUAGGACGUUUGAUUCUAUUUUGUUGGUUUCUAGGAUCGACGUAAUGAUUAAUAGGGAUAGUUGGGGGCAUUAGUAUUCAAUUGUCAGAGGUGAAAUUCUUGGAUUUAUUGAAGACUAACUACUGCGAAAGCAUUUGCCAAGGAUGUUUCCAUUAAUCAAGAACGAAAGUUAGGGGAUCGAAGACGAUCAGAUACCGUCGUAGUCUUAACCAUAAACUAUGCCGACUAGGGAUCGGAUGAUGUUAAUUUUUUAAUGACUCAUUCGGCGCCUUAC